GGUAUAACCCUGUCGUGGGAACUGGUUUUUGUGAGCACUGUUCGGAAGAACUUCAAGAAAAAUGGGGGCAUUUGAACAGGCUUAGCAAACAAAUGACAAUCCGCUUUGAGACAGCUGUGACA
rnacentral:pre_miRNA from 1 species